rnacentral:lncRNA from 1 species
ACAACUAAUUUCUAUAGAAAAUAACUGGAUUUUGAAAUAGCUCAAGAUUUCAGGGAGAGGGAAUUGUAUCAUACCAAAGGAAGCUGUCCCUUUUUACUUAAAAUGAGCCACAGGAUUCCGAGCAUGGCAGCUUUUCAAACAUACUUGGUAUAAAACAAACCAUCGUGGAAAAAAACAGACCCACUGCUCAACGCCAACCUGGGGAAACAACAGCAUCCAGGUGCAUAGAGUGAAGUCUUCAACCAUGGGAGAGAAAGCUACAGGCAUGUAAGAAUCAAAAUCCAAGCUAGGUAUUGCAGCCAGCCCAAAAUCAAUGCUUCAGGGAACAAAAGAAUCUUUAGAAGUGAACUUCUGGACCCAUGCCAACAAAAGCUGAAACAGGGACUCAACCAGCAGCAAAAUGAACUUGGGAUUCCGGCUCGGCAACUGUUUUAUCAACCUGCACAGCAUUAGGAGGGGAGAUGCUGCAUUUGUGAUCAAACGGCUGGAACUGAGAAACCGUUGUAGAGGAAUGGUGGGCUUUGCUGCAAUUUGUGAGCCUGCUUUGAGAAGUCACAAGACUGAAGAGAAGAUGGGAACUUGGGGUUAUAAUGAACAGACCACCAUCAAUUCACAUACGCACAACUCCAUUACAGUGUCAAUGUCAGAAGACCAGGAGAGCACUGCUUUCUACAUUUCAGUGAGAAAAAUUGUACAUCAAUGAUUACAUGUAACAUGAGUUUUACUGUUAUCAGAUACCAGCUUAUGCUAUAGUGGUUACUAUAAAAUUCACGAUGCUGGAUGCUGUAAAAUAUGUUUAAAAAGUAGUCCAUUCUCUGAGCUUAUAAAUUAAAUAGCAUAUAUAGGAACAUAAAGGUGUAGUCCAAAAGCCAGAAAGAUGUUUACCUCAACACAUAUAUUAUUGUCACUUUAGUGAAAUUUCUUUGUAUAUAGUUGCUGGUUUCCUAAUAUCUAACUCAAAAAUUCCUAGAUUGCAAAGCAGGGCUAAUAACUUCUAUCAAUAAAAUUUUUUAUAUCUUUUUUUUCA